UUUAUAUGAGAGUUUGAUCCUGGCUCAGGAUGAACGCCGGCGGUGUGCCUAAUACAUGCAAGUCGUACGCACUGGCCCAACUGAUUGAUGGUGCUUGCACCUGAUUGACGAUGGAUCACCAGUGAGUGGCGGACGGGUGAGUAACACGUAGGUAACCUGCCUCGGAGCGGGGGGUAACAUUUGGAAACAGAUGCUAAUACCGCAUAAC
rnacentral:rRNA from 1 species